rnacentral:rRNA from 1 species
CCUACGGGUGGCUGCAGUAGGGAAUAUUGCUCAAUGGGGGAAAGCCUGAAGCAGCAACGCCGCGUGGAGGAUGACGGCUUUCGGAUUGUAAACCCCUUUUGUUAGAGAAGAAAAUGACGGUAUGUAACGCAUAAGGAACGGAUAAUUCCGAGCCGGCAGCCGCGGUAACACGGCGGGUGCAAGCGUUACGCGGAAUUUCUGGGCGUAAAGUGAGCGUAGGCGGUAUAGCAAGUCAGAUGUGAAAUCCUAUGGUUUAACCUUAGAACUGCGUCUGAAACUGUUAUUCUGGAGUAUAGGAGAGGUAGGUGGAAUUCGUGGUGUAGCGGUGAAAUGCGUAGAGAUCAAGAAGAACACCCAUUGCGAAGGCGGCCUGCUAGACCAUAACUGACGCUGAUGCGCGAAAGCGUGGGGAGCAAACAGGAUUAGAUACCCUUGUAGUC